GUUCAACUGCACAUAUACUAAAUUUAGAACAAUACAGAGAAGAUUAAUAUGGCCCCCAGACAAGUAUAACAUGCAAAGUCAUGAAUCAUUUCAUAUUUUU
rnacentral:snRNA from 1 species